GGAGGAUUGGAAACAGUUUGUUUUCUCUUCCCUCGUUCCUCUCAGUGGAUUCAGUGGAUAAAGAGCAGGCACACAUUACAAUAAACAUUUUUAUGGUCCCCAACAUUAGGCAUAUAAAUCCUACCUGUCUUCACACACUUACACACUAAAACUCCCACAGAAAGGGGGAAAAUUAGAAAAGGGGUGAUAUAAUUUGACUCUGUGUCACCACCCAAAUCUCAUCUUGAAUUGUAAUCCCCGUAAUUUCUCACCUGGCAAGAGUGGGACCAGGUGGAGACAAUUGGAUCAUGGGGGCAGUUUUCCCCAUGCUCUUCUCGUGAUAAUGAUUGAGUCUCAUGGGAUCUGAUGAUUCUAUAAGUGUCUGGCUUUUCUCCUACUUGCACUCACUCCAUCCUGCCACCCUGCGAGGAAGGUGCCUGCUUCUUCUUUGCCUUCCGCCGUGAGUGUGAGUCUCCUGAGGCCUCCCCAGCAAUGUGGAACUGGAUACGUCAUGGAACAGAGGGCAACCUGCCUCCUGGAAAUGUGGAGUGUCUAGGGAGUCACAGCUGAGAUCUUCCUUGGAUUAAAGGCUGCGGGUGUCACAAACAGAUUCAACUGGGUGAAAUAACUGUGAACUGGGCAUGUGAAGAGAAAGCUGAAAGCCAUGAUCUCAAGAUGGAAACUUCAGUAUCCAGCAAAGAAAUGGUGAAGGCGUUCGUUAUGUGGGAUAUGCUGUUACCACUGAACUUGAAGUUAUCAAAGAAGUUCUAUUCUUAACCCUUAAUCUGCUCAGGAUGCUGUAACAACACCAUAAACUUUCAAACAACUCUAUUUCCUACGGUUCUGGAGGCUGGAAGUCCACAAUCAAAGUGUCAUGUUGUCAGGUUGUGGUGAGGGCCCUCUUUUGGGUGUAGAUUGCUAACUUUUCUGUAUGUGUUCACAUGGCAGAAAGAGAUUGAGCUAGCUCUUGGAUCCUUUCUUAUAAGGGCACCAAUCCCAAUACAGAGGCUUCACUCUCAUGACAUAAUUGUCUCCCAAAGACUCUACCUCCAAAUAUUAUCAAUCACAUUAGGGGAUAGAUUUUAACACAUGAUUUUGGGGGGAACACAUUCAGUCCAUAACAUUUCUUGAGUCUUCUUCUAGGACCCAUAGGUUAUUUUAAAAGUGGCUUGUUCAGUUCCAAGUGUUUGAAGAUUUUUUUUUUCUGUUAUCUUUAACUUACUGAUUUCUAGAUAGACCCCAUUGUGCUCAGAGAACACUCCUUAUGUGAUUUCAAUUAUUUUAAAUUUGUUGAGAUUUUAUGACUUAGUAUGUCAUCUGUCUUGGUGUGUAUUCUGUGGGGGGGAUGGGGGGUGCUUGAAAAACGGGUAUUCUGCUAUUAUAGAAUGUCAAAAUAUCAACUGUAAUAAACAAGAAAAAUAAUCCUAGUCUUUUAUUUAAGGGCCCUCUUUAGUCCAUCUCAACAGACCCUUCUCCGAAGGGGAAAGAAAUGCAGCUCACAAGAGCCCAUUAAACAACUAAAACAAGACAAAAUAAAACAACUACCCCCUGCCAAUUUGCACACUGUUACUUCUUUUGUUUUCCCAAUCUUAUUUCUUCUUCUUUUUUAUAAUAAAAAAUUUCAAAGCAAUUAUCUGCUUUCUUACUUCCCCUUGACUUUGCCUAUGUUUAGUUUUACUUUCUAUGAUUGGCCAUCAACAAUUAGGCACAAACCAUUCUGAACUUCCUCUUCACACUUACUCAAGUGGGAAAGCUGCUGUUUACAAAGUUGCAAACUAGAAAGUGCUAAAUUGAUGUUGUACAUUUGCAAGCAUUCACGUUGAAAAAAAGAUGCAAAAGAAGACAGGUGAGACAUCUUGGGAAGUGAUGUGAG
rnacentral:lncRNA from 1 species